GACGAACGCUGGCGGCGUGCUUAACACAUGCAAGUCGAGCGGUAAGGCCCUUUCGGGGGUACACGAGCGGCGAACGGGUGAGUAACACGUGGGUGACCUGCCCUCAGCUCUGGGAUAAGCCUGGGAAACUGGGUCUAAUACUGGAUAUGACUCCACGGUGCAUGUCGUGGGGUGGAAAGCCUUGUGCGACUGAGGAUGGGCCCGCGGCCUAUCAGCUUGUUGGUGGGGUGANGGCCUACCAAGGCGACGACGGGUAGCCGGCCUGAGAGGGCGACCGGCCACACUGGGACUGAGACACGGCCCAGACUCCUACGGGAGGCAGCAGUGGGGAAUCUUGCGCAAUGGGCGAAAGCCUGACGCAGCGACGCCGCGUGAGGGAUGACGGCCU
rnacentral:rRNA from 1 species